UGACCACUGUGAUAGCCUAUACAGAUGU
rnacentral:piRNA from 1 species